rnacentral:rRNA from 1 species
CUGCAGUCGAGCGGCAGCGGGAAGUAGCUUGCUACUUUUGCCGGCGAGCGGCGGACGGGUGAGUAAUGCCUGGGAAAUUGCCCAGUCGAGGGGGAUAACGGUUGGAAACGACUGCUAAUACCGCAUACGCCCUACGGGGGAAAGCGGGGGACCUUCGGGCCUUGCGCGAUUGGAUAUGCCCAGGUGGGAUUAGCUAGUUGGUGAGGUAAUGGCUCACCAAGGCGACGAUCCCUAGCUGGUCUGAGAGGAUGAUCACCCACACUGGAACUGACACACGGUCCACACUCCUACGGGAGGCAGCAGUGGGGAAUAUUGCACAGUGGGGGAAACCCUGAUGCACCCAUGCCGCGUGUGUGAAGAAGGCCUUCGGGUUGUAAAGCACUUUCAGCGAGGAGGAAAGGUUGAUGCCUAAUACGUAUCAACUGUGACGUUACUCACAAAAGAAGCACCGGCUAACUCCGUGCCAGCACCCGCGGUAAUACGGAGGGUGCAAGCGUUAAUCGGAAUUACUGGGCGUAAAGCGCACGCAGGCGGUUGGAUAAGUUAUAUGUGAAAGCCCCGGGCUCAACCUGGGAAUUGCAUUUAAAACUGUCCAGCUAGAGUCUUGUAGAGGGGGGUAGAAUUCCGUGUGUAGCGGUGAUAUGCAUAGAGAUCUGGAAGAAUACCGGUGGCGAAGGCGGCCCCCUGGACAAAGACUGACGCUCAUGUGCGAAAGCGUGGGGAGCAAACAAGAUUAUAUACCCUGGUAGUCCACGCCGUAAACGAUGUCUAUUUGGAGGCUGUGUCCUUGAGACGUGGCUUCCGGAGCUAACGCGUUAAAUCGACCGCCUGGAGAGUACGGGCGCAAGGAUAACACUCAAAUGAAUUGACGGGGGCCCGCACAAGCGGUGGAGCAUGUGGUUAAUUCGAUGCAACGCAGAAGACCUACCUGCUCUUGACAUGUAUGGAUCCUGCAGAGAUGCUGGAGUGCCGUCGGAAAUCAAACACAUGUGCUGCAUGUCUGUCGUCAUCUCGUG